UCCGGAGGGUGCAAUCGUUGUUCGGAAUCAUUGGGUGUAAAGCGCGUGUAGGCGGCUUGGCAAGUCGGGUGUGAAAUCCCGGGGCCCAACCCCGGAACUGCAUUCGAAACUGCCUCGCUAGAGUCCCGGAGAGGAAGGCGGAAUUCCCGGUGUAGAGGUGAAAUUCGUAGAUAUCGGGAGGAACACCAGCGGCGAAGGCGGCCUUCUGGACGGUGACUGACGCUCAGACGCGAAAGCGUGGGGAGAAAACAGG
rnacentral:rRNA from 1 species